rnacentral:snRNA from 1 species
GUCUCCUCCGAAACGUCCAAUAAAAUUGGAAGGAUGCACAAAAGAUUACUAUGGUCCUUGCGAAAUGAUGACAUGCACAAAUCGAGAAAUGAUCCAAAUUUCU